UACGUAGGUGGCAAGCGUUGUCUGGAAUUAUUGGGCGUAAAGCGCGCGCAGGCGGUCCUUUAAGUCUGAUGUGAAAGCCCACGGCUCAACCGUGGAGGGUCAUUGGAAACUGGGGGACUUGAGUGCAGAAGAGGAGAGUGGAAUUCCACGUGUAGCGGUGAAAUGCGUAGAGAUGUGGAGGAACACCAGUGGCGAAGGCGACUCACUGGCCCGGUACUGACGCUGAGGUGCGAAAGCGUGGGGAGCAAACAGG
rnacentral:rRNA from 1 species